AGAGAGGAGGGAGGUAGGAGGAUGGUCAAAACGAGUGAAGGGGAGCGGGAGGUACAGACUUCUCGUUGUGGAGUGAAUACAUCGUGAGGCUAAAAAAACAGCAUAGGGAAUAUAGUCAACGGUAUUGUAAUAGCAUCAUAUGGCGACGGGCGGUAGGUGCACUUGUGGUGAGCAUGGUAUUGAGUAUAGACUUGUGUAAUCGGUACGUUAUAUAUUGGAAGAUAAUUUACAUUACACUGUGUGUCAACUAUAUUAAUGAUAAUAAAAACCCCAGAGUAGAUAGUCUGAGAAGGCAUCCUUUUCCAAGAGUGGUUGUAGGAGUGCUGACAACACUACUUCAUCUUUGGCCCUUUAUCUUGGUCUCCCCUCUGACGCACAGAUAGCACCACUUUAGAUAAUGAGUACAGAUGAUCGUGCACAGAAGUCUCCACUUCAGAUAACAGCUCCGUGGCCUCACCACCAUGCCCCUCACUCUAUAAAAGCUCUGGGUUGAGGGCGGGGCUUGGCGUUGAAUAGUUGCGUAGGGCUCUGGAUUCUUCACUCGUCCCCCUCCUUAUCAGUUUUAUAUAUACCAUCUGUAUAUGUGUUCCGGCUUUGAGUCUACCAUUCACGAUAACUGAGCUCCAGGGGCACAGUGUUUUGCAGUAAGAAGCUAGAGCCAGACUGCUUGAGAAGAAUAGACUGCCAGGUUUUUCAAUAAUAGAAACAAUUGUCAAACCAUGGUAUAAAUAGCUGACAUCCUAUAAAAAACAGAUAAGAAGAAGGGGAUAACCUUUGAAGAUGUCAAGCUGACGUGAAAUUACUGAGGAAAGGACAAAAGUUCCGCCUAAGUUACAUGUUACGUAACAUUGACCUUUCACAUAGGCAAGAGGGCUCUCUUCCCACGUUACACAGGAAACAGAAAGGGCUGCUGUUGCUUUGCUGGAAGGUACGGGGAAACUUCAGGAGAACAGUUGUUUUGGCUUUCUGCCUUUGGAAAACAUCAUUAAUAAAAAAAAACUACCUGAAGAUGAAGAUUAGGAAUAAAUAUGCAGACUUCCACUUCCAGCACUUGAUGAAACCACCUCACCAUAAACAGACUUCCAGUGAAAUGUUGAAUAGAAGUGGUAAGAGUGGAUAUCCUGGCCUUGAGAUCCUUGCUGUAAUGUUAUCUGGAGAUUUUUCAGAAAGAACCUUUAUCAGAUUGACAUCCAGGAAUAAGAAGGACUAGAAAGCAGAGCCAUUGCCCCCCUUCAAUGCCACAUCUUAAAAAAGAAGGAAGAAACUUGAAAAUAAGUGGAUGCCUCACCAAGAACUAAAAUCCAACUACCCAGAUCCCUUUUAGGACCGGAUGUUACCUUACAGGUGGACUUUUCUGCCACAAUCUGAGGAAGUCUUGGAAGCUCAAGACCAACUCUAUGAAGGACUCAUCACCAGCAGACCAGGCAUGGGCCAGAUUACCUCCUGAAUAAGCCUUUACCUAGGCCACUGUGGAAAUCCUGCAAAAUGCUACAGUAGUAUCGGUCCUUAUCAAAAGAUAAGUAAUAAAUUUCUGAUAUUAAUGGAAUGAUAUAAAAAGAUAUACUUUUAAUAUAUUUAUGUAAUAGCAUUUUUUAAAAGUUUUGUUCAACAUUUCUCAAACAGAUGUUUCAGAAAGCAUGUAUAUGUGUCUAACCAGUACAUCUAAUUUUCAUAAUCUUCAAAUAGGUCUAAGCAUUUUGCCAUUACACGUGAUUCAGCAUGACUUAAAAACAAUAAAGUUUUGG